UGUGGCGCUGCAGACCUCCCCGCAGGGUUACACGGGGCCAUUAGCUAACGCCUUUGUCUAUAAUUAUAUACAACAGGCAACAUUCACUUAGCAGAUCAUCUGGGAUGCGCUUCCCAUUUCAUCCUCGGGAACCACUCCGCAGACUCUGCAAACGCCUGCCUGCUGAAGUCACUGCAAUCACAGGUCCCUCGUCUGUGGGCUAAGGACCAUGGCAAGGAAAGACAAUGAGGUCUAGGAUCCCAGCCUGUGGGGUGGUGCUGUGAGCUUCAGCGUGGGUCUCCCUCCUCGGAUACGUCUCUCCGGAAACACCCUCAGAGCACGUAUCUCCUAGGCAAUUCCAAGUCCCGUCAAGUCGAUGAUGAAGAUGAACCACGUCCCCUGGGUUCUCCUUUGAGGUGUCCCGGAGACACAGGGACUCCUACCCAGCAGGAUGUUGACACCUGCAGGGGUCUGGCCCUUAAGCCACAGCCUGGAGGUCCCCAGAGCUUCUGAGCUGGUGUGAAAUCAGAUAGCAGUCACAGGGCCCUCAGCUCUGGAGUCCCAGCUGCUAUAGCUGGUUCUAGGGUGUCUAGGAGGGCUCUGUGCACAUGACAGCCCGGGAUCCACGUAUCCUUUGCAACCUUCACAUAAUGGCACACAGAGAGGGGCCUCUCCCUCCUCCAUCUGGUAUCUCACAAGUCUCCAACUCUGCCCCAUCAGGCCACCCCAGGGUAAGUGUACAGGGCCCAGCCCUCGGAGGCCAGGGUCCCAUCAUGGCUCUGGGGUCACCAUUUUGACUUUGCUUCGCAGUGUUCAAGCAUAGGCACCAUUGUUUUGCCCAGGGUCUGCCACAGGGGAGGCUCAGCUCAUGGCUGCCCUACAGUGCACCCUCUGUCCUGCAGUUUCUGGCCCCACAGGGUUCCUCUGACCCCUGUGUCCAUGUCUAGGACCAUUGUUGUCUAGCCUUGACUGCCUCACGCCUCUGACUCUAGACGCCCCUAGGGGACACUGGCCACACAGGCCUGUAACCAGCAAACCCUCCCAGGCAGCCUAAGCCAAGUCCAUAUGCUCUCUCUGGCCCACUGCAUACCCUGGAAAGCAAUUUCUUCUCUACCAGUCAAGGUCCUCCCCAUAUCAGGUAUGAGGCCCCCGAGUCACUGUCCCCAAAGGUGUCUACAUCCUACUUAGCCUGUGUGUCUGGAGUCUGAGGUAGCAACAGAAAGGUAUGGCUAUGUGAGGACCCUGAAGUAGGGGUGGCCCUAGAUGUGAUCCCAGUGUCCCAGGAAGAGGGACACAGGAGGACCAGAGUCCAGUGGACACCAGCAGAAGCUGUCAGAGGACAGACCUGUGCAGCAGGCUUUGAAAAUGGGGACGAUGCCAGGCCCCAGAGCACAGGCACCUCUAGGAGCUGAAAGGACCAGGUGGGACUAUCUGGUCCUGGUCAGGGGCACCACCUUGGAGACUUUUGAUAUGGGGUGAUUUUAAGUUGGGAUGAGUUAUUUUACAGCAGGAAUUUCACAAGCCACUCAGCUGUUCCACGUGCAGUGUCCCUCAGCCCCUCAGCUAGCUGGGACCUCUUCCAUACUGACCUCCAUGGGACCCUCUUGGGCCGAUGAACAUUUUGUCUUGGAGACAUCUAUCUGGUAGCUCCUUGGGGAAGCAGUGUGUCUGCCUGGGAGUACAGGAGACACCCAUACACAAGCAGCAGCGGGGUUGAGAAGCUAAGACAGGGCUGACUGAGAGGUAGACACCAGGAGGGGGGGGGACACACUCCAUGGCCCCGCCCACCCUUGCCCAUGGCCCCGCCCACCCUUGUCCCAUGCCUACAGAGGAAGUCCUGCCCACAGGCAGGGCCCUUGAGUACUUCCCCAUGCCCGUGUUCCAGGGAGGGGCCAGACCCGCGUGUGGCUUCACUGUCUUACGCUGCUGCUUCCACAGGGAAGCCUUAAUUGACGCAGCAAAACAAACAUUUGCUUUGGUGAUCCACGCUGAGUUAGAUACAUGGCAUUAUUUUAAUUAAGCCUUGUGACUGAUGAAUCUCAAUAAAGCAGCUGUUCUGGA